UACAGAGGUCUCAAGCGUUGUUCGGAUUCAUUGGGCGUAAAGGGUGCGUAGGCGGCGCGGUAAGUCGGGUGUGAAAUCUCGGAGCUUAACUCCGAAACUGCAUUCGAUACUGCCGUGCUUGAGGACUGGAGAGGAGACUGGAAUUUACGGUGUAGCGGUGAAAUGCGUAGAUAUCGUAAGGAAGACCAGUGGCGAAGGCGGGUCUCUGGACAGUUUCUGACGCUGAGGCACGAAGGUCAGGGGAGCAAACGGG
rnacentral:rRNA from 1 species